GCUAAGUACGUGUCAGCAGGCGUGGUAAUACGGAGGGGGGCAGCGUUGUCCGGCAUCAUUAGGCGUAAAGAGCGGGUAGGCGGCCUGGUAAGUCCGCUGUGAAAGGCAAGGGCGCAACCCUGGAGUGCCGGUGGAAACUGUCGUGGUCGAGUCCGGAAGUGGCGAGUGGAAUUCCUGGUGUAGCGGUGAAAUGCGCAGAUAUCAGGAGGAACACCAAUGGCGAAGGCAGCUCGCUGGGACGGUACUGACGCUGAGACGCGAAAGCGUGGGGAGCAAACAGGAUUAGAUACCCCAGUAGUC
rnacentral:rRNA from 1 species